rnacentral:rRNA from 1 species
GAUGAACGCUGGCGGCGUGCUUAACACAUGCAAGUCGAACGGAAAGGCCGAAGCUUGCUUCGGUACUCGAGUGGCGAACGGGUGAGUAACACGUGGGUGAUCUGCCCUGUACUUCGGGAUAAGCUUGGGAAACUGGGUCUAAUACCGGAUAUGACGAUCUCUUGGAUGGGGUUGUGGAAAGCUUUUGCGGUAUGGGAUGAGCUCGCGGCCUAUCAGCUUGUUGGUGGGGUAAUGGCCUACCAAGGCGUCGACGGGUAGCCGGCCUGAGAGGGUGUACGGCCACAUUGGGACUGAGAUACGGCCCAGACUCCUACGGGAGGCAGCAGUGGGGAAUAUUGCACAAUGGGCGCAAGCCUGAUGCAGCGACGCCGCGUGGGGGAUGACGGCCUUCGGGUUGUAAACUCCUGUCGCAAUCGACGAAGCCUUUUGGUGACGGUAGGUGGAGAAGAAGCACCGGCUAACUACGUG